UACAGAGGGUGCAAGCGUUAAUCGGAAUUACUGGGCGUAAAGCGUGCGUAGUCGGUUAUCUAAGUCGGAUGUGAAAUCCCCGGGCUCAACCUGGGAAUUGCAUUCGAUACUGGAUAGCUAGAGUUCGGCAGAGGGAAGUGGAAUUUCGGGUGUAGCGGUGAAAUGCGUAGAUAUCCGAAGGAACAUCAGUGGCGAAAGCGACUUCCUGGACCAGAACUGACGAUCAGGCACGAAAGCGUGGGGAGCAAAAGGG
rnacentral:rRNA from 1 species